rnacentral:rRNA from 1 species
AGUGUACGCUGGCGGUAGGCCUAACACAUGCAAGUCGAACGGCAGCACAGUAAGAGCUUGCUCUUACGGGUGGCGAGUGGCGGACGGGUGAGGAAUACAUCGGAAUCUACUUUUUCGUGGGGGAUAACGUAGGGAAACUUACGCUAAUACCGCAUACGACCUACGGGUGAAAGCAGGGGAUCUUCGGACCUUGCGCGAUUGAAUGAGCCGAUGUCGGAUUAGCUAGUUGGCGGGGUAAAAGCCCACCAAGGCGACGAUCCGUAGCUGGUCUGAGAGGAUGAUCAGCCACACUGGAACUGAGACACGGUCCAGACUCCUACGGGAGGCAGCAGUGGGGAAUAUUGGACAAUGGGCGCAAGCCUGAUCCGGCCAUACCGCGUGGGUGAAGAAGGCCUUCGGGUUGUAAAGCCCUUUUGUUGGGAAAGAAAAGCAGCAGGUUAAUACCCCGCUGUUCUGACGGUACCCAAAGAAUAAGCACCGGCUAACUUCGUG